GUUUAGCGUUUAAAUGUCCCAGGCAUGGUUCUAAGCAUUUUUUUUUUCCUUUGAGACAGGGUCUCACUGUGUAGCCCUGGCCAUUUGGAAUUCUCUGUAGACCAGGCCGGCUUGGAACUCCUGAGAUCCGCCUUCUUCCGCCUCCCCCCUACCCCCCCAUGAAUCCAGUACUCACACCUGGGAGCCAGGUAAUGAGUUUGCCUGAGGUCACCCAAGGGUCAGUGCUUGCACCGGCUACUUCCUCUGCAUUCCGCUUACAAACCCGGGAAGAGCUUACAGCAUUUGGGUUAUUCUGUGACCAGCACUGGAGAGAAACACAAGGUCAGGAAUAUAUUUCACAAGGUGAUGAGGAGCUGGGCGUGUUCUCGCACGUCAGUGACGCCAGCACUGACAGAGAUCAGAGAUCAUCAGUUCUAGGCUAAUGUGGGAUGUCCGAUCUCAAAGCACAUAACACUCACGAGUUUUCAGGGAUGCCGGGUCAGUUGCUCUCUGUCGCCCCGGGCGGCCAUUCGGGGAAAUGGCCGUGGUCUCCUCUCCACCGAGCCUGUGCCCGAACAGGAAGAGUUAAAGAGCAUCUGAGACCAAAGAACCGGAGAAUCCAGUUCUGUGGCCUUGGAGAGGAUCUGGAUUCACCUUGCAGAACCACAGUGACCUCAUUUCAGUCGUUUCUUUCUCGUGAAUCCAACCCUCCCUUAGACUUUUAAUUCUCUCCUGCAACCUUUAAGAUACAGGAGUGGGUUAGGUCUGUGAUAGCCCCUCAACAAAGCCACAAUGAGAUGGGCUUGGCCUUCUUUGUUUUCUUUAUUAUUAAAAUUGUUAAUGAAAUAAAACCCAACUGCAGGCUG